UGGUGGCUGCCAGCAACAGCGAGUUGGAACGUCUGGAAGUGCUGUUGGAGAAGCUAAGGACGCUCUACUCCUGGAACCCUCUUGUCUCAGUCCCUCCAGUCCACUUCCUUGGUUCGGACGAGGUGCUGAGCAUUGUGGAUACAACUGAGGAAGUAUUCACCCUUUUAAGUCGCCUUGUACAGAUCAGGCAAGGACGUGACGAUGCCGGGGGAACCGCUGACAAUGGAGAUGCUGUCCACUCCAACACGGUCUUGCAGGUG